UCCAUGAGUUUACAGCCUGACCACACCCCCUUCUGCAUAGCCCCGCCCCUUUGUGGGCAGUCACACCUCCUUUAUCUGCAAGCCUGGCCCCCUUGUUCUUUUCUGUGAGGCAUUGACAGGCCUUGUGAGUGUGAGAGAGUGCCACUGCUGCCUGCACUAUUCCACAGCAGUGAAAACCAGUUCACUAUUCCACAGCAGUGAGAACCAAUUCACCAUUUCACAGCAUUGAGAACCAGUUCACUAUUCCACAGCAGUGAGAACCAGUUCACUAUUCCACAGCAGUGAGAACCAGUUCACCAUUCCACAGCAGUGAAAACCAGUUCACUAUUCCGCAGCAGUGAGAACCAGUUCACUAUUCCACAGCAGUGAGAACCAGUUCACUAUUCCACAGCAGUGAGAACCAGUUCACUAUUCCACAGCAGUGAGAACCAGUUCACUAUUCCACAGCAGUGAGAACCAGUUCACUAUUCCACAGCAGUGAGAACCAGUUCACUAUUCCACAGCAGUGAGAACCAGUUCACUAUUCCACAGCAGUGAGAACCAGUUCACUGGUUCUGUGUCCUUAAUCCAAGUGCUGUUAACUUCCUUUACCUGCUGAACCGCAGGAACUGAUCCAGGUGUUCAGGCAGACGUAUUGAAUGCUGGAAACUCUUGUUUUUUUUGUUUGUUUGUUUUUUCUUCCACACCUGGGUCUAAGCUGUAUGCCUGUUUACACACACGUUGCACAGGGGUUCAUAAGAACCUGUUUGCAGCUGAAAAGCAAUAGAAUAUUUUUAUAUGAAACGUGUGAAACUCGGGUGCGUGUUUCUCUGUGACCCCUAAAGAGAGGGCUAGAGGCAGAACACAGACAGACAGACGGAUGAACUCCUUUGAGGCCAGGACGUCCCAGCAUGCCUCUGCCUUAGUUUUAUGUAGAGUGGAAGUGCUCAGCUUCCACCAGCAGGGCGGCGACUGCAGCCUGCACCCCAACGGGCCCGUGCUCUGCUGCUCUCAGCCUCGUGGGUUCUGAUGAUGAUUCGGGGGAUGAGAAGCCAGAAACUAAAAAAACUGAGUGUGUCUGGAUUGAUUACGCUGUUGUUUUUUUUCCUCUUUUCUUUUAAAUGUUAUUUUAGAAACUUUUUGGUUUGGGCUCUUGGUGGCACUGGUUUAGUACUGAAAAGCAACAAGCAAAAAAAAAAAAAAACUUUUCCUUUUUUUUUUUUCCUUUUUUGUUUUUUAACCUGCAGCUUGGUUUGGUCUCCACUGAAGCAGUGCUGUCGGGAAGGGUGUGGGGGUGUGGGGGUGGGGGGGGAUUAAUGAUGACAAUCAAAUCUGAACUGAACAGAGUCAUAAAUAAACCUGCAUGUCUGGCUGCUGUUAAAAUGAUUAUUAAAAAGAUGGACGGAUUUAAAUGUACUUUCUGAUCAUGCCUUUCGAAUGUCUGGCUGUCUGUAGAGAUUCAGGGGGAAAUUGUGAAUGUAUGACAGUAUACUUUUUCUUUCUCUUCUUUUUUGUUUUUUUUUUCUUUCUUUUUUUGCAGAUUUUGAGCUGCAGAAAAAGGUCUGGGCAAUGAAACCUAAAUGAAUAUCUAAUAAAUUUCCACACAAAG